ACAGAGAUCCUACGGGAGACAGCAGUCGGGAAUAUUGCGCAAUGGAGGGAACUCUGACGCAGUGACGCCGCGUAUAGGAAGAAGGUUUUCGGAUUGUAAACUAUUUUAGUCAGGGAAGAAAGCAGACGGUACCUGAAGAAUAAGCUCCGGCUAACUACGUGCC
rnacentral:rRNA from 1 species